UACGUAGGGUGCGAGCGUUAAUCGGAAUUACUGGGCGUAAAGCGUGCGCAGGCGGUUCGUUGUGUCGGCGGUGAAAGCCCCGGGCUCAACCUGGGAAUGGCCGUUGAAACUGGCGAACUGGAGUGUGGCAGAGGGGGGUGGAAUUCCACGUGUAGCAGUGAAAUGCGUAGAGAUGCGGAGGAACACCGAUGGCGAAGGCAGCCCCCUGGGCUGACACUGACGCUCAGGCACGAAAGCGUGGGGAGCAAACAGG
rnacentral:rRNA from 1 species